UGAAGCUCAGCCCUGCUGCCCGCCCGGGGUGCGCGGGGUCCGCUCCUGGGCCCUGCUGCGCGGGCUGCGAAGGGGAGCGCGUGUGCUUCCUCCGUCCCCACGAGGAGGGCGGCAGGUAGAGGGCUCGAGAGGCUCCGCUGAGCGCUCGGUGGUCUGUAGGGGAAGCGCCGGGGGAACGCGGCCCCUCGUGUCCAGGAGACAAACCUCCGCUUCUGGAGUGAGGGCGGCUGUUCCGCUGCGGUUCGCGUCCCUGCUCUGCAAUUUGGGUCCUGCUGAUAGUGGUUUCCUUCUGCCCAUCUCUCGCUCCCCGGUUAGCAUCCCUCCGGAUAAGUGUGCCUGUAAUCACAGCGCUUGCCAAAGCUCCUGCUUCUUCCGAGCGUUGUUGCAGCGCUCCUGUAGGACAGACUGCACUUCUGCUUACUAAGGAUGCUAGGUCUUCAGUGGCAUUGACUUCUUUUAACAGCAAAAAAAAACAAAACAGCUUUUAAACUGGAACAGGAAGAGACCCUGAGCUAUUCUGGGCAGAGGCCCGUUGUGGGCAUGAGAUUGGUGUGUCUGACCCCAUGUCCAAACUCCUUUCCUUUCCGAGACCUGCUCAGCAUUAGAAGCAUUGAACAAGCAGCAUUUAUCAGGCCCGGUCCUUCAAGCUCAUCUUUCUUCAUUCUGACCAAGCCCUGAAAGGCAGUGUGAACUGGAAGAAGUUGCCCAGAACCCUCUUUAAAGGUGUGUGGUUGGGCGAUGAACUGGCAGAGCUGUGCAGAUGUGUGUGUUCCCUUGGCAGAUGUCAAAGCCUGUCAGAAGCUGCUUAUCUGAGCUCUUAUAGCACCUAACUUCUGUGGCUAUUCCUUUUAAUAGCAUGUAAGCUACAAAUAAAGCUUCCACUUAUCUUCUAAAAUAAACAUUUAUGCAGGGAAUGUCCUGUGUUCCAGUAUUUUAUUGCUGUAAACCAACCCAUUACCUCUCCGUAGUGAAACGAUGUUGUCAGUUCUGUAGCAGUGAACUCAGUGAAGGCCUUGAGCCACUUUGUGAGAAGUGCUUUAUUUCUUUAUGUGUGGCCUUUACAAAUGGUUUUACUUCAAGUAUUACUUGGAAAGCGUGACUUUGUUUAGUGAAUUAAGCUGCCAGAUGGUUACUCAUUUACUUUGUGGUGAGCCACCUGCAUAUGACAGUUUCUUGCAGAGUGUUUUCUGGUUAAUGAAGUCAUUUUGUAGCAGAUCCUAGAAUACUAAUAUAUACAGAAUGAAUCAUCAUACAACCAUUAGUAAGUCUGAUGGAGAAAAAAAAAGACACAUUUUAUUUGCCAGAUUGAAUUGUUUUUUCUGUUUUAAGUCUACUCUUAAGAAAACGGUUGUAGAAAAGCAGGUAGGGUGAGAAAGUGUAAUUACUGGCAUGGGAAAAAUGAGACCUGCCUGUCUUUCAAAUGAUUUAAUCAAGAAGUUAAAAGAAACUGUUUCAAGUUUUGCUCUGCAUUCUUCUUAAAACAUCCUUUGCCUAGAUUAUCUUCUCUGAAAGCGAAAGCUUUUGUACAAUUAAAUAUAAACAUGGAAGGUUACAUUAUGCUAUGUCAUAUAACAUAGGGCAGCAUGACAAACCAAACAGUUGUAGUCUUUAACAUCUGUCCAUCCUCCAACAAGGAAGGCAGUAUUGAAAAUUUUCCAUGCUUGAAUAUGAUACUGGAAGCUUUCUGCGGCAGUGCUGAUGCUGAAAGCUCCACAUAAGAGUACUGCUUUUCAAAAAGUUGUCAGUCCCAAAGCUGUCUUUCUCAAGAACCAUCAUACUUGGAAAAGCAUUUCUCUGUGUGCUCAGUUCCACAAUAAGCUGUCACUCUUUUUUCAUUAUACCAUACUGUUCCUUCUCAGACAAAACCACAAAUUCUGUCUCAAGAGAUUCCGUCGCUGCUUCUUUUCUAAAGCAGUGAUCUAUGCAGUUUUGACUUUGGUCAGUCCGUGUGGUUAAUUUAUGGAUGACAGUUGUGGGUAAGCAGCACAAACUCCAGGACUUCAGGCUUACUUCUAGUUGAAUAAUUCAGCUCAUGAAAUGACUGUUAAGUUUUAUAGUUCCCUGUUUUCAAGUCAUUUUGUGUUUCUAAUCUGCUCCACAAUUGCAAUUCUGAGUGCUAUUGUUAACUUCACUUAAUCUUCAGUAAACUGUUUGCAGAAAGAUAAGCAGUGCAGUGCCUAGAAAGAUUGGGUAGAAAGAGAAAAAAAGAACAAGGGGGCAAGAGUAGGUUACAGCACUGAGAAAUUGGUUUAAAGAAAAGUGUAUGGUGGAUAACAAAAAUGAGCGAGUAUAAUAGUCAGAGUAUAAUAUAAUACUCCUAGCUUCUGAGACCACUGUCUUCAGCUUUUUUGAAUAUUGUUAUUAGGGAAUAAAGUGAUGAAAACCUUUUCUUUGAAACUUAAUUAAUGUUACAAUCAACAGAUCUGUUCUGCUUGGAACAGAUGUGAUUCAGAUGACGGAACUGCAGACCCAAUUGCAUGACCAAAACUCAGACCAAGCUUUUAUUCUGGCAUAAGCUUAUAUAUGAUGGCAGUGUCAGUUUAAAUUCAUUCCUCUGUAUGAAGCGGGCCUAUUGUCUCUCCCCAGAGACUCUGCUGUUACCUAAAUUCCUGUAUGGAGUGCACCAUAACAUAGCAUUAAUAGCAGUGAAAUUGGAAAGAAAUCAUUCUUGAUUAAUUGCAGUCUGCAGCUGAAAUGGUUUCUCUUACAGAUGUGAGAAGUCACUGUUUACUGGAUGAAUAAUGAAAGUGAGUUAUAACCACUCAUGCUUUUAAUAUCCCCUAACUAACUUCACAAAUAGCAAUGCAAACUGUUGAAUGGCAAAGCAAAUUUAGCUUUAGAUUAUCAGAAUUUUUUGUUGUAGGAAAUUCAAAGUUUAAAAUCCAAGACAUUAAAAGCAUUUAAAUAGGUCGCUGCUUUAGAAGUCCGUUUCUACUGAGAGUUACGAGGUCUACAGACAACAACUAUGUUUUUGGGCCUAUUUCAUACGAGUGUCUCUUGCGCUUGAUGUAGGAGCUGUAGGAUUAAAAGCAAAAUAUAGGACAACCUAAGCUGUUGCUUAUCUAAACUCAAAGCAACACUCCAUUUGCUUUAGUGUUCGAAAUAUAAGCAGUUAUUUUCUUUGUACUUUGAUAAAAACCUAUGUAACUGCAGUAGGCCAAAAGUUCUCCAAGCUGAUGUGUCUACCAAUAAGGAAUUAUGUCUAGAGUAACAUAUUGGAUAUUAGAACUUUUCCCUUUUUUUUUUUCCCCCCGUUGGUAUUGCACGGACACGAUAUAUAUUUUAUAAAAAUGAAAUAUAUUUACACUCUAAACAUUACAAUUUUAUUACAUGUGCUACGGUAAAGCCUGCAUAACCAGUUAAGCAGCUUGUAGGCAAACAGUGGCCUUGGUAGUCCAGUCUGUUUUACUCUGAAAGUUCAGUAACUUGUUUUGACUUUGUUCUGUGUACCAAAUACUUAAAACAAAGACAGCCUGCAUUACACAGUACCAGGGACAGCUGCAGAGCAGAGUGAAACUGAAGUGGUCAUAUGAUAGGAAAUAAACACAACAAAUCUCUCUUGGUACUGAUGCAGAUAAUACUGGGAACACCAGCUGUUCCUGGUCACAAUAAUUGCUAUAUUUUAGCAAACUUUUUCAAUCUUAAAUCUGAAUUUCAUUUACUUAUUUACAUUCAAAGAAAUACUCAACUCGUGUAAUAUUUUUCCCAUUUGGAUCUUAAUACACUUCCUUAUGUUUUUCUAUAUUGUUAAUCUCUUUUUAGAAAUAUGAGAAAAUAGCUUUCUUUUCCCUUCUUCAUUCGUUAGUUUCACAGGCAGUAUAAAGGGGCUUCAAACUGUGAUGUUAUAAAUGUCAGCACUAAAUUGGUUUAAAUGGGUAAAAAAACGUUUUGUUCCUUCUGCCCCCACCUCUCCGCUUCCCAAAAUUUUCAUAAACAUGGAUUUCUUUAUCCGAAAUGUAGACGAGACUUAAGUAAAAUGUAAUUACUGCAACCAAAUGUUGCAUCAUUUGGAGGACAUUAGUUCCACGAUAUUUUUACCUCUACAUAGGAAGACAAAGGGAUGGAUUGUGUCUUGCCCUGGAGGUGUGAUAUGCAGGAAAGGGAUUUGAAGAGGCUCUCAUCCAGUCCUGCUCCUGAGGAGUCAAAGCACCUGAGUGAAAGAAGCCACUAAUGCUCAUGCUGCCAAAAAGAAGCACGUGGCAACUGAUGAUGGUUUAGAAAUGUUGAAACUUCUACAGAAUGUUUGUUUAUACUUUUUCCACUCAGAAACACUAUUUUCUUCUGAGCGCAAGAAACUUGAAAGCAAACUGAACUUGACAGCAAAAGUUGUUUUCUACUUAAUUGCUGUUCUUAAAUCUUUUAGGAAAGAAAAGAAUACAGGGAAUUGACAGAGUUGUAUACUGCGGGCCACGGGAGGAAGAAGGAAUGUGCAUUCUUCUGUCUCCUGCAGCCAAUAGAGAGAAGUGGCUGCAAACAGCCCAAUUCCUUAAAAUGUUAUUGGCUUGAUUUCAAACUUAUCUUUGCAACUGUAAGGCUGGAAGGUUUAUGACUAUAAAAGCUGAGACUAACUUCAUCUUCUAAGUAAAGGAUUACAGCAUGAAAGAUGAUGCAGAAAAAUCACAAUCUAGUGAUUUCUAAGGAAGAAGCAAAAAAAAUGCUUUUGAUCAACUGCUAUGUAUUGAAUGACUGAUGACUGUAAGUACUGUACAAAUGUGAGAAACAUAGUACCCUGUGUGCUUUGCAACUACAAAACUUCUGCCUAUUGGUCUUUUGUAUGUGAGAAAUUUUGCAAAAGUUUUUAUCAGAUCCUUUCCCCAUAUUUUUCUAUUAAGAGUUUCUUUUCAAUAAUAUCAGAAAAAAAAAAACCAAGAUUUUAGUUCAAAACUAUGAUUAUACUUGAGUUUGUUGGAGUAUAACCCUUUAUCUUUUAAGCAGAGUGGACUGUACAAGAGGUCAGGAAAACACUUAAACAUAAUUUUAUUCAUUUUAUUUUUAUGAAAGUAUCCAUACUAGUAUCAGAAUUUACUUAGUUUCUGCUGACUGAGUGCAGAUAAUCAUCCUCUGAAGAAUUUUUAAAUUAUGUGCUGUAGAUUUAAGUGGAGGAAGUGUUCACCUGUUCCCAAGGAGCACUCUGUAGCUGCUGUUGAUGUGAAGUGUGUAGUCAGACCUAAAGAUGCUUACAACUGUGCUGCCAAGAUGAGGACACUACAAUGGGAUAGAGGGAUGCUGAGGUUUUCCAUUUUCCUUUGUAUAAAAAGAACUCAAAUCAGAAGAGAUCAUGAUGGUGUAAAGGAGCACUGUCGUUUCUAGAACCCAAGACAAAACUACAAAGAUAUGCAUUAUUCGAAGUAAAAAGUAAUUAAAAGACCAAUCAAAUCUAAGUUUAUAUAACUAGGAAAUUGUGCUUCUCAGAGUGUAAGAUGGUAACAGUGACUAUAUGCUUUGUUUUCCUGGUAUCAAGAGGAACCACAAGAAUUCGCUGUAAAAAUAUGAGGGUUUUUUUGCUGUCAACAUAAAAAGCUGACCCAGCUUUUUAUUUCUUUUCAAGGGAUUAACAAAUAACUCUUAAGUCAUACACAAGUGUCGGACCUAUUAUUCAUAGCUAAUCUUCUAUUAUAUUGUUAGGAAAACCUCUGGGAGUGAUGGUUUUUGACAUACAUCUCUGGUUAUUGCAUUACAUUUCAGAAA